UACGGGGGGAGCAAGCGUUGUUCGGAUUUACUGGGCGUAAAGGGCGCGUAGGCGGCGCAACAAGUCACUUGUGAAAUCUCCGGGCUUAACCCGGAGCGGCCAAGUGAUACUGUCGUGCCAGAGUGCGGAAGGGGCUACUGGAAUUCUCGGUGUAGCGGUGAAAUGCGUAGAUAUCGAGAGGAACACCUGCGGCGAAGGCGGGUAGCUGGGCCGACACUGACGCUGAGGCGCGAAAGCCAGGGGAGCGAACGGG
rnacentral:rRNA from 1 species